GACGAACGCUGGCGGCGUGCUUAACACAUGCAAGUCGAACGGUAAGGCCCUUCGGGGUACACGAGUGGCGAACGGGUGAGUAACACGUGGGUGAUCUGCCCUGCACUUCGGGAUAAGCCUGGGAAACUGGGUCUAAUACCGGAUAGGACCCUGGGAUGCAUGUCCUGGGGUGGAAAGCUUUUGCGGUGUGGGAUGGGCCCGCGGCCUAUCAGCUUGUUGGUGGGGUGAUGGCCUACCAAGGCGACGACGGGUAGCCGGCCUGAGAGGGUGACCGGCCACACUGGGGCUGGGAUACGGGCCAGACUCCUACGGGAGGCAGCAGUGGGGAAUAUUGCACAAUGGGCGCAAGCCUGAUGCAGCGGCGCCGCGUGAGGGAUGACGGCCUUCGGGUUGUAAACCUCUUUCAGCACCGACGAAGCGCAAGUGACGGUAGGUGCAGAAGAAGGACCGGCCAACUACGUGCCAGCCGCCGCAGUAA
rnacentral:rRNA from 1 species